AACUUCUCAAGGUCGCACCUGGAGAGUUUCCAGUCCUCUACCAGUUUCGGCUACAGGAGGGAGAGUCGAACAGAGGCCCGUCCAUUCCAUUCCUAGCUUGGGCGGUGGCUAGCGAGUGGAAGGCCGUCUGCUACGAGU